rnacentral:rRNA from 1 species
CCUACGGGCGGCAGCAGUGAGGAAUAUUGGUCAAUGGACGCAAGUCUGAACCAGCCAUGCCGCGUGCAGGAAGACGGCUCUAUGAGUUGUAAACUGCGUUUGUACGAGGGUAAACGAAGAUACGCGUAGCUGUCUGAAAGUAACGUACGAAUAAGGAUCGGCUAACGCCGUGCCAGCAGCCGCGGUAAUACGGAGGAUUCAAGCGUUAUCCGGAUUUAUUGGGUUGAAAGGGUGCGUAGGCGGGCGGAUAAGGUAGAGGUGAAAUCCCGAGGCUCAACUUCGGAAUUGCCUCUGAUACUGUUCGGCUAUAGCGUAGUUGCGGUCGGCGUCAUGUUUGGUGUAGCUG